GCCAGUGUGGUGUAGUGGUUUGAGCGCUGGACUAUGACUCUGGGGACUAGGGUUCGAAUCCCCACUGAGCCA
rnacentral:tRNA from 1 species